CCUGAGAAACCCAAAAGAUCGAAUGGGGAGAUUCAUCGUCAGCGAUCCAGGCACGUGCGCGGUUCGCGAUGCCGGAGGCUUCGGUCUCAUGGCACGCGUCCGCGCAUGGUUUUUUGCCGGGUUUCGUCGGCGUGCACUUCUCCCCUAGUAGGACGUCGCGACCCGUUGGGUGUCGGUCUACGGCCCGGGUGGGCGCCUGUCUAUGUGUUACGCUUCACGGCGUCAUGUGGCAGACCCCCGGUUGUCUGACCAGCUGCUCGGCGGUACUCGCACGGUAUCGAGCCGCAAACAUUCGAACUGCGUCCGGCCCGCUGCAAGCGCGGCCAGUGUUUCCCGGAUGUACGGACCUAGCGCCGUCACCGGGCCUGGCCAGCUGUUGGUUGGCGGUGUCCUGGGACUGGCUCAAAUAAAUUAUGAUACCGGUCGGCGACGCUACUGCUUUGGGUACUUUCA
rnacentral:rRNA from 1 species